GACGAACGCUGGCGGCGUGCUUAACACAUGCAAGUCGAACGGAAAGGCCCUGCUUUUGUGGGGUGCUCGAGUGGCGAACGGGUGAGUAACACGUGAGUAACCUGCCCUUGACUUUGGGAUAACUUCAGGAAACUGGGGCUAAUACCGGAUAGGAGCUCCUGCUGCAUGGUGGGGGUUGGAAAGUUUCGGCGGUUGGGGAUGGACUCGCGGCUUAUCAGCUUGUUGGUGGGGUAGUGGCUUACCAAGGCUUUGACGGGUAGCCGGCCUGGGAGGGUGACCGGCCACAUUGGGACUGAGAUACGGCCCAGACUCCUACGGGAGGCAGCGGUGGGGAAUAUUGCACAAUGGGCGGAAGCCUGAUGCAGCAACGCCGCGUGCGGGAUGACGUCCUUCGGGUUGUAAACCGAUUUCGCCUGUGACGAAGCGUGAGUGACGGUAAUGGGUAAAGAAGCACCGGCUAACUACGUG
rnacentral:rRNA from 1 species